CCGUGUAUGUUGACCAACGCCGCCGAAAUAAACGCCGCUAGUCGUGUGAUCGAGAAAAAAAGUCGAAAAAAAAGAAAACGAAAAUCGCUAAAAAAAAUUGUUGUUGUUGUCGUUAAACAAGAAUUUAUUUACUACGUUGACGUCGUCGCUCACAACUUUUGUUUUGCUUUCAGUUUUUGUUUUUAAAUCACAAAAAAGAGCAGCAGCACAUUUUUGAUUAAUUUUUAUUGUCUUAUGUUUUGUUGUUAUUGUCAAAAUGCACUCGCGAGAGGAAAGUGUUUAUAAAUUGAUAAAAAUUUAAACAAAAAAAUCUUAACAACUAUAACAAUAAUAAUAAAUUUUAAAACAAAAAAAAAACUUGCGCAACACAACAAUAAUUUUUAUUUUACCUCGUGUUUAUUGUUGUUGUUUAAUUUCAAAAGCGAUUUAAAACGACAGGCGAAUUAACCCAAAAUAAACCGACUAAACGUGCGCGCGUUGCUACAGCUCCUUAAGAAAGGGCAGGGUUCUCGGUUUAACAUUUAAGAAAAGUGUAACGAUUAACGAACUUUUUAUUUAAACAAAAAUAAAAUUAUUUUACGAAAUUCAAACAAAUUAUAAACGAACGAGAUCAGCUGUUAUUGUUGUUUUUAUAGAACAUUUAACAACAUUUUCAAAAUUUGGUUACACAAACCAAUACUGUAAAGAAAUAGUGUCGUCGUCGUCUUCAUUGUUGUUGUCGCUGACUGUGUCUGUGGUAUUAAAUUAACAGCUGUUUGAAGGAUGUGUGAACAACACUGGGCUUUUAAUGAGAUUUUUUAUUGUUUUAUAUGUUUUAAUGUGAACGGAUACAAGUAGAUGUGAAUGUAUCUCAAUAUCUUUUGAAAGAAAACGAAGAAAAGAAAAAAAUAAAAACAAAACCGCAAAGUAAAGAGUUUUUCUAAAAUACAAAAGCAACAACAACAACAGGCAGAAAAUUUUGUGUUUUUGUUGGGUUUUGGAUGUGUGAGCUCGUUAGUUUAUUUAUUCAACGACCGAUACCGUGUGUGGACAUUAUUUUCCGAAACGCGCAACAUAACACAACACACAACUUUGUGAGGCUCUGAAAAGCCAAUAACUGCAACAUUUUUAUAAAAUUUAAAAAAAAAAAUUAAACGAAUUAUUUAAAAAAAUUUGAUUAAAAAAAAA